UUACAGCAUCAUAUAAUGAGUUCAAAACGUGUAAAAUAUGGUAAUUGGUCACAAGAAUCAUUAAAAAUGGCAGUAAAUGCAGUUUUAGUUGAUGGUUGCUCGAAAUAUUCUGCUGCUAAACAAUAUAAAAUACCAAGACAAACACUACAUGACUAUAUAAAACGAGCACCUGUUGAUAAUUUUGUUAAAAAGUUACGUGCAAGACACCCAACAACACUCUCAGCUUUUCACUCAAAAAGUUAUUGACACUCAAAAAGAAUCUAUUUCACCAAAUUCAUCAUUUGCACUUCAGAAAUCAUCAGAAUUAGCCACCUCACACGAUGAAACCUCACAACCUUAUGGUGUUACAUUUGGAUCACUAGCUGGACUUGCUGUAGAUGGUGGCAUGAAACAUGUGCUGCUAUAUGUGGUGUUUAUACUAAAAAAGUAUUUACUUGUGAUGACUGUAUAAAGCACUGAUUCUUAAAAAAAAAGUUAUAUGUCAUAUAUUGAUAAAA